GGCCGCCUGGCGUAAUGGCAACGCGUCUGACUACGACGAGCCACGUGAUCAAGCGUCACGUGACCGCGAUCAGGAGAUUGCAGGUUCGACCCCUGCGGUGGUCA
rnacentral:tRNA from 1 species